AUUGAACGCUGGCGGCAUGCUUUACACAUGCAAGUCGAACGGCAGCGCGGGCUUCGGCCUGGCGGCGAGUGGCGAACGGGUGAGUAAUACAUCGGAACGUGCCCAGUAGUGGGGGAUAGCUCGGCGAAAGCCGGAUUAAUACCGCAUACGACCUGAGGGUGAAAGCGGGGGAUCUUCGGACCUCGCGCUAUUGGAGUGGCCGAUGGCAGAUUAGCUAGUUGGUGGGGUAAAGGCCUACCAAGGCGACGAUCUGUAGCUGGUCUGAGAGGACGACCAGCCACACUGGGACUGAGACACGGCCCAGACUCCUACGGGAGGCAGCAGUGGGGAAUUUUGGACAAUGGGCGAAAGCCUGAUCCAGCAAUGCCGCGUGUGUGAUGAAGGCCUUCGGGUUGUAAAGCACUUUUGGCGGGAACGAAAAGGACUGUGCCAAUACCACGGUUCGAUGACGGUACCCGCAGAAUAAGCACCGGCUAACUACGUG
rnacentral:rRNA from 1 species